rnacentral:rRNA from 1 species
UACGGAGGGCGCGAGCGUUAAUCGGAAUUACUGGGCGUAAAGCGCGCGUAGGCUGUUGUGUAAGUUGGGGGUGAAAUCCCACGGCUCAACCGUGGAACAGCCCUUGAUACUGCGCGACUUGAAUCCGGGAGAGGGUGGCGGAAUUCCAGGUGUAGGAGUGAAAUCCGUAGAUAUCUGGAGGAACAUCAGUGGCGAAGGCGGCCACCUGGACCGGUAUUGACGCUGAGGCGCGAAAGCGUGGGGAGCAAACGGG